UGCAGUCGAACGCUUCUUUUCCCACCGGAGCUUGCUCCACCGGGAAAAGAGGAGUGGCGAACGGGUGAGUAACACGUGGGUAACCUGCCCAUCAGAAGGGGAUAACACUUGGAAACAGGUGCUAAUACCGUAUAACAAUCGAAACCGCAUGGUUUCGUUUUGAAAGGCGCUUUACGGUGCCGCUGAUGGAUGGACCCGCGGUGCAUUAGCUAGUUGGUGAGGUAACGGCUCACCAAGGCCACGAUGCAUAGCCGACCUGAGAGGGUGAUCGGCCACAUUGGGACUGAGACACGGCCCAAACUCCUACGGGAGGCAGCAGUAGGGAAUCUUCGGCAAUGGACGAAAGUCUGACCGAGCAACGCCGCGUGAGUGAAGAAGGUUUUCGGAUCGUAAAACUCUGUUGUUAGAGAAGAACAAGGGUGAGAGUAACUGUUCACCCCUUGACGGUAUCUAACCAGAAAGCCACGGCUAACUACGUGCCAGCAGCCGCGGUAAUACGUAGGUGGCAAGCGUUGUCCGGAUUUAUUGGGCGUAAAGCGAGCGCAGGCGGUUUCUUAAGUCUGAUGUGAAAGCCCCCGGCUCAACCGGGGAGGGUCAUUGGAAACUGGGAGACUUGAGUGCAGAAGAGGAGAGUGGAAUUCCAUGUGUAGCGGUGAAAUGCGUAGAUAUAUGGAGGAACACCAGUGGCGAAGGCGGCUCUCUGGUCUGUAACUGACGCUGAGGCUCGAAAGCGUGGGGAGCAAACAGGAUUAGAUACCCUGGUAGUCCACGCCGUAAACGAUGAGUGCUAAGUGUUGGAGGGUUUCCGCCCUUCAGUGCUGCAGCUAACGCAUUAAGCACUCCGCCUGGGGAGUACGACCGCAAGGUUGAAACUCAAAGGAAUUGACGGGGGCCCGCACAAGCGGUGGAGCAUGUGGUUUAAUUCGAAGCAACGCGAAGAACCUUACCAGGUCUUGACAUCCUUUGACCACUCUAGAGAUAGAGCUUCCCCUUCGGGGGCAAAGUGACAGGUGGUGCAUGGUUGUCGUCAGCUCGUGUCGUGAGAUGUUGGGUUAAGUCCCGCAACGAGCGCAACCCUUAUUGUUAGUUGCCAUCAUUUAGUUGGGCACUCUAGCAAGACUGCCGGUGACAAACCGGAGGAAGGUGGGGAUGACGUCAAAUCAUCAUGCCCCUUAUGACCUGGGCUACACACGUGCUACAAUGGGAAGUACAACGAGUCGCGAAGUCGCGAGGCUAAGCUAAUCUCUUAAAGCUUCUCUCAGUUCGGAUUGUAGGCUGCAACUCGCCUACAUGAAGCCGGAAUCGCUAGUAAUCGCGGAUCAGCACGCCGCGGUGAAUACGUUCCCGGGCCUUGUACACACCGCCCGUCACACCACGAGAGUUUGUAACACCCGAAGUCGGUGAGGUAACCUUUUUGGAGCCAGCCGCCUAAGG
rnacentral:rRNA from 1 species